UCCUCCUUCCGUCAUUUUGGUAACCGCUGUGAGAAUAAUAAACUGACGAACUUUUGAAAGCAAGACGCGAGCAUCGGAAAUAUAAUUCCUCUUGAUUUUCUUAUCGAAAGGAAUUUGCACCGAGGACUAUUUAACGCAUCUAAACCUGCCAUUUUAAUAAACCGGUGACCACGAGAUGGAAGGUACUUCUACACCGAUUGACACAUUGCCACCAAAACACGUUUUGGAGAUAUGGGUCAUUCUGCUGAUCAUCCUGGCAACGGUUGUUGUCAUGACUACCUUGUUAGCAGGCCCCGUAGUGGCUCUCAUCUUUUACCGGGUUUGGACCAGCCCUGCCAGAACUGCUGACACUUUGGAAAGGGCAACCAGUCCUUGAUCUCUUCACAGGCCCAGUGUUAUUGCCAUCUCAAUGGACAUGAAGUCAAGAGACUGUGGAAACAGCUCCUGUUUUCAACCUGAACCACAGCCACAUACGCUAGCAUCUCUCUUUCUCUUCCUCAUACAAGGGAAAAGUCAGAGUCAUGUCUGAUGGCUUAAUUCAUGAAUCACAGACUAAGAGGUCAUCACAGGUCUAGCUACUGGAAACAGAAGGGAUUUAGCCAAUGGUCAUGUGUAAUAAUUACACUACUGGCAACCCUAGUGUAGCUUAAAAGGUUCAAUGCACCAAGAUGAGAAAAGCAGCCUCUUCUACUCCCAAAGUGUUGCCUGGAAAUUCCGAUACCAGUCAUCAUAUUUUCACAGAAUAUUUUGUGCAGUUAUUGUGCUAGAGGCCUUCAUUUCUAGGAGUACGUGCAGGUGUAGUUCAUUCGCUCUUGUGUGAGGAAGCAGAGGAAGCCCUGGUGAAUGGAUCCCUCCCUCCCUGGGCAACAAUUUGGCAGAUUACUAGCUGCACCAUGGGACUGCCUGGCGUAGCUGGCCUUGGCACAUUCAGUCGAUCCUGGACUGUGGGGCACGUCACUUCACUGAAUGAGUGCUUUAGCUAAACAUGCCACAUGACAGCUGAAGGACAAAAGUGUAAGAAUUACAUUUAAUUAGUAAUUCUACAAAAUGCAUUUUUAAACAAAUGAGAUAAAAUUCAGUCUACUCAUAAUACAUAGUAUUAUGUACUACUCACAAUACAUAGACUAUAUGCUGCAUUUUUAUUGGAAAAUAUUGAGUAUCAAAAAUGUACUUACAUCUAAAAAGCACAAGUAGGCACUAUUCCAAUAGAAUUCAGGCCAAAAUAUUUAUACCAAACAUCACCUAUUUUACUACCAGUAAUGACAGUAGCUUUAAUCUAUAAAGACAGCUGCUUAUGGCAUGUUGUGGGGGAAAGGAAGGACAGAAAAAUCCCAUAGUUUUUUUAAAGAACCAUUAGUGGGAGAAAAGCUUUAAAAUGAAAGUGCUUUCAUUUCCACAAUGGACACGAGAGAAACAAGCCAGUCUCUGUCUCAUAAUCCCCCAGGACAAGCACAGCCUUUCCUGUUUCACAAACAUCACAAGCUUAACCUACAAACAUGUCAGUCAAGGAAAUUUUAUGAACUUUCACAAAGAUUACAGGUGAUUGUCUCUAAAGUUAUAUACACAGGUAACAUUUAUCAUGGAAACUCAUGGGAAAUGCCUACAAUUGAAAAAAAUACUGCAUUAAAGGAACUGGGAUGUUUUUAAGGAAAUGGACAUAAAGAAGGGAAAGUUGUUCAUAAAUGAGGAAUUUGGUUCUAAAAUAAAUUCAGGAAGUUCAGCGUUGACUGAAUUAUCUCACUCCGCAUGUGUUUUCACAGCAGUCAUUAUUACAAUGUAAAGGGGCGUGUUAGUUUAAUAGUUUUAAAGUUUUAAUUAUUUGCACAGUUAACAGGCUGUGUAAUAAUAUUAAAAUUAGGUUAGACAAAUGAAUGUGCUGGUGAGCAACAUAAAACAAAAAAAUCCUUGCAGCAAGUAUUUAAGGGAACAGUUGAAAAUAUAAACAAAAUAACUAAAUCUGGGAGAGCAUACAUAAAGGUCAAAGUGAGUUAGUUCUCAGUAAUGCAUUUUCUGUACCACGUGGCAUUAUUUAUCAAGCGCACAAUGUGCUUCUGUGCAGUGUGUUUGUUUUAGGAAACGGAGUGUGAAAUUUGGAACAAUGAAACAACUGAAUGUUUUUCAUUACAGAUUAGGCAUACGGUACAUGUACAGUACAGAAUGACCCGCUUUCGUUGUUGAUCGAUUCUAGCAAAUGGUUACUGGACUGAAAACAGCCUGAUGUUUUCAUUUGCAAUGAAUGUGGAAGAUUCAUCUGUGCUCCCAUACAGCAUAAAACUUUCAGAUUUUAUGGUGUUCUAUUUUUUUUCUUCUGUGUAUUAAUCCAUUAUUCCCAGAAACAAAAAAAAUUAAACUGUAACAGUA